GCAGUCGAACGGCAGCACGGGAGCAAUCCUGGUGGCGAGUGGCGAACGGGUGAGUAAUAUAUCGAAACGUGCCCAGUCGUGGGGGAUAACGCAGCGAAAGCUGUGCUAAUACCGCAUACGAUCUCUGGAUGAAAGCGGGGGACUCGUAAGAGCCUCGCGCGAUUGGAGCGGCCGAUAUCAGAUUAGCUAGUUGGUGGGGUAAAGGCCCACCAAGGCGACGAUCUGUAGCUGGUCUGAGAGGACGACCAGCCACACUGGAACUGAGACACGGUCCAGACUCCUACGGGAGGCAGCAGUGGGGAAUUUUGGACAAUGGGCGCAAGCCUGAUCCAGCAAUGCCGCGUGCAGGAUGAAGGCCUUCGGGUUGUAAACUGCUUUUGUACGGAACGAAAAGGUCUGCCUUAACACGGUGGGCCCAUGACGGUACCGUAAGAAUAAGCACCGGCUAACUACGUGCCAGCAGCCGCGGUAAUACGUAGGGUGCGAGCGUUAAUCGGAAUUACUGGGCGUAAAGCGUGCGCAGGCGGUUAUAUAAGACAGAUGUGAAAUCCCCGGGCUCAACCUGGGACCUGCAUUUGUGACUGUAUAGCUAGAGUACGGUAGAGGGGGAUGGAAUUCCGCGUGUAGCAGUGGAAUGCGUAGAUAUGCGGAGGAACACCGAUGGCGAAGGCAAUCCCCUGGACCUGUACUGACGCUCAUGCACG
rnacentral:rRNA from 1 species